rnacentral:lncRNA from 1 species
CCCGGCCAGUCCGACUUGGUGCUCGCGAUUGAAUUUAAACGAAUAAUCCCUACUUCCCCAUCCAAAAUUAGCGGAUAGGCGCCCUUGCACCGGAAGGCCUCCUCACCAGUCUUUUCUUUUUGUCUUUGAAAUAAUUCUUAGCCUCAGAAGUCAGCAUUUUCAAGACCUGGCAUCCGCAGCGUUUCUGACGCGGGGACUUCUCUCUUCGGCUCUGAGGUCUCCGCGCGCAGAACCCAUGGCAGCUUUUGGUCUUACGCGUGGCUGUGAGCUGGGCUCACGCUGCGUGGCGCAUCCACCCCUCGAUUGACGCGCGGAGAAGCAUUUUUCAUUUUUUCUUUCAGCUUAUUUAAGAAGGUGAGGACUCCAAAGAAGAUCCAAACGCGAGACCAGGAAGAUUCACGUUUCCACUACUUCUUCCAAUACAUUUCACUAAUCUUUCUACAGGGAUAGUGUUUUAAAACACGACGACCCUCACACACCAAGGUGAAGUUGAAUAUUGUUGUUGUUCCUUCACCGCAUGAAAGGAAUCCUUCAGAACUUACUUUCAGGGACGGCUUCUUCUAUCUCGAAUUUUUGCAUUUGUAGGGAAUUUUAUGGGGUAGAGGAGCGAAGAGGGAACAAUGUCUCCAAUUCAAAUAAAACCCCAAAUUAAGCUCUCAGCCCCAUCGGUGGGAUAGCCUGCGGGGGAACCCACUCCCUCUCCUGGCAGCAUUGCCCUGGGGGCGAGCAGAGAGUGGAUUUGGAGUCUUCUUUUCCCGCCUGACCCCUGCUCGCCCGAGCAGCAUUUUCGGGCCAGCGGCUGCAGCCACCCGGGCGCCGCUAGGGGAUGCAGUGGCUCAAAG